UACCUGUGUGGAUAAGGCGUCGGUCUCCUAAACCGAAGACUGCAGGUUCGAGUCCUGC
rnacentral:tRNA from 1 species